rnacentral:rRNA from 1 species
UGAGGAAUAUUGGUCAAUGGGCGAGAGCCUGAACCAGCCAAGUAGCGUGCAGGAAGACGGCCCUAUGGGUUGUAAACUGCUUUUAUGCGGGGAUAAAGUGAGGGACGUGUCCUUCAUUGCAGGUACCGCAUGAAUAAGGACCGGCUAAUUCCGUGCCAGCAGCCGCGGUAAUACGGAAGGUCCGGGCGUUAUCCGGAUUUAUUGGGUUUAAAGGGAGCGUAGGCCGUGGAUUAAGCGUGUUGUGAAAUGCAGGUGCUCAACGUCUGCACUGCAGCGCGAACUGGUUCACUUGAGUGUGCACAACGCAGGCGGAAUUCGUCGUGUAGCGGUGAAAUGCUUAGAUAUGACGAAGAACUCCGAUUGCGAAGGCAGCUUGCGGGAGCACAGCUGACGCUGAAGCUCGAAAGUGCGGGUAUCGAACAGGAUUAGAUACCCUGGUAGUCCGCACGGUAAACGAUGGAUGCCCGUUGUCAGGCUGUUUCAGCCUGGUGACCAAGCGAAAGCAUUAAGCAUCCCACCUGGGGAGUACGCCGGCAACGGUG